rnacentral:rRNA from 1 species
UACAGGGGGUGCAAACGUUGCUCGGAAUCAUUGGGCGUAAAGCGCACGUAGGCGGUUCGUUAUGUCGGAUGUGAAAGCCCUUGGCUUAACCGAGGAAGUGCAUCCGAAACUGGCGAGCUAGAGUACGAAAGAGGAUCGCGGAAUUCCCGGUGUAGAGGUGAAAUUCGUAGAUAUCGGGAGGAACACCGAUGGCGAAGGCAGGUCUCUGGGCCGCAACUGACGCUGAGGAGCGAAAGCAUGGGGAGCGAACAGG